ACUUAUUCACCAUCCCAUUACCAUUACAUGAUCUCUCUCCUCCUACCUACCUAUUUCAUCAUCUUAUUUGCAUUUGUUUUCCUUUGAUUCUUGGAAAAAUCGAUCCGAAGUGGGGUUUUUACAGCAAUUAAUUUAAUUAGCAGUUCAUUGUUUACCCAUUUUCAUGUUAACUAGUUUUAGGCUUUUAGGGCCCUCUGAUCAGAAGCAGUUGAACUGAAAUUUUUUGAUACGUUUUAUUGAGCCUAGCUAAACAAACCCAUUUCUCCAUGCUUCCUCUUUUGUCCCCUGUUCAACACUCUGUAGUAGUCUAUCUAUAUGUGCAAACACUCUCACUCUCUUUCUUUCU
rnacentral:lncRNA from 1 species